AGCGAACGCUGGCGGCAGGCCUAACACAUGCAAGUCGAACGAACCCUUCGGGGUUAGUGGCGGACGGUUGAGUAACACGUGGGAGCGUGCCUUUAGGUUCGGAAUAACUCAGGGAAACUUGUGCUAAUACCGAAUGUGCCCUUCGGGGGAAAGAUUUAUCGCCUUUAGAGCGGCCCGCGUCUGAUUAGCUAGUUGGUGAGGUAAAGGCUCACCAAGGCUACGAUCAGUAGCUGGUCUGAGAGGAUGACCAGCCACAUUGGGACUGAGACACGGCCCAAACUCCUGCGGGAGGCAGCAUUGGGGAAUCUCGCGCAAUGGGCGAAAGCCUGACGCAGCCAUGCCGCGUGGAUGAUGAAGGUCUUAGGAUUGUAAAAUCCUUUCACCGGUGAAGAUAAUGACUGUAGCCGGAGAAGAAGCCCCGGCUAACUUCGUGCCAGCCGCCGCCGUAAAAC
rnacentral:rRNA from 1 species